GACCAAGAUGUUACCACAGCGCUGGAAGC
rnacentral:piRNA from 1 species